UCUUUUUUUUUAUAGUACAAAAUAGGUUUGGACUGCCCUCUGCAGCACAAAUAACAUUUAAAAAAAUUCCUGAACUGAUGUGGAGGAGGAUGUCCAGCUGGACCCGAUGUGAGGCACAGGUCUGGACUGGCCUCAAAUCAAAGAUCUUUAUGAAGGUAUCUUUCUACAGUCUCAUAAUGAUAUGAAAUAACAUGAAUGCUAGAUUAGUUGCUUUGAUCAAUUUUUUGUGCUCAGACUUUUCUCCUGCAGGCUGUUCAACACUUAGUUCCUCCACAGACACAUUAUCCUUCUAAAGUUAUUUAGACCUGAGAUCUCCAGAAAGGCUGUCUAAAAAAAGCCAGGACAACCUUAGGAGAUGAGGCCAUCGACUCCACAGCAGCAAAAGAGAUGGUCCGAGAUGCCCUGACUAGUAGACCUGGUGGGCAAGAUGUAUUAGAAGAGGACCAGACAACCAAAACAUUGGACCAGAGAACCAGGAGAGAGAUGAUUGUGGCUGACUAAGAUGGCAAUGGUAAGCUUCUCCUUAGCCAAUCAGGCCACACACAGUGGAUCAAAACAAUCAAACUAUACAUGAAUGUUAUUUGGCAUCAUUAUGAGACUAUAGAAAAAUACAGUACAACUUUGGGUUAACAUAUUUGGCGCGUGUAUGCUUUACUGUUUUUGAGCAGGAGACUUCCCGCUCGCCAACCGAGAGAAUGUUAUGCUCUUGGAAUUGUGACCCUCUUUCCUUCAUAUUGCUUUAAUAUUUUGACACUUGACCUUGCGUCGAACCAUCAAGAAGAGAUUUCACCCCAGUCGGGAGGCCCAACCCAUAGGAGGAAGACCUGGCCCACCAGCUUGUUGAUGAUGCUUGCAAGGAGGCCAUAUCGUUCCCUGUCCACUCGGCUGAUGAAGAACAAGUCUAUCAGAAGAUGGAGGUGUCCCAGUAUCGCCAGGGGCUAGUUUAUAGUACAGACAGAAGCACAGAUGUCCUCAGUCUUUUCCAGGUUUCUGGACAUCAAAGGAUUGUGAUGUAGUAUGUGCUGGAAUCAGAAGUACAGGCUAGUUAUCUGAUUGAGAACAUGAGUUGUCUCAUUGAGAACUUGAUUUUGUGUUGGUCAUGAAGUUGAAUUGCUCCACUUUGUUUUGGGUGAAUCAGGACUUUUUGCUGAUGUUCAAUGAUGAAACAUCCUCUAAACUCCUUGAAAAGUGGGACACUGUAUUGAAGCCUAAAGUCAUCAAACUGGUAAAAUCCCUGACUACGACCAUGAUAUGCGUUGCCUCUUGAAGUCUGCAGAAAACUGCCAGAGAAUGACAGUGAAACCAAUUUGGACAAUGAUAUGUCCUCCCUGCUGCUUCAUCUCCCACCAGCAGCAAGAGGGAAGAGGACCAAGAUCAGUGCCAGUGAUGCUGUGGGCAGACUAGUGCACUUUCAUAAAGUCAUGCUGCAGCAUUGUAGACCAUCUGGAUGGGAGCCAUGGUCGACAGACAUACCUCCUUGCCAUCGAAAGAAGACAGAGCAAGAUUGACAACUACUACAACCUGGUGGACAAGAGGCUUGUUCCCUGCCAGGUAACUAGUGGUCUGUGUGUGUUUGAUGUACUGUUCAAAGCCCACUUUGUCUUUAACCUGACGUAUGAUGAUGCUCUUGUGAAC